rnacentral:lncRNA from 1 species
GGGCCCGGGGGGCCCGGAGCAGUUUCCAGUGGCCAGGGGUACGCGCGGCCGGAGGGGCGCCGGGGCCGUACUCACCGCGGCCGUUCUGGUUGGGCCGGUACACGCUGCCCACGCUGAGGCGGCCCUGCUGCGCGCCGUUCCGCUCCCCACCCGGCGGGGGCGUGUCGGAGCUGCGCACCGGCAGGUAGGGCGGCUCCAGCGCGCGCGGCGGCCCGUACGCCUCGGGCGGCGGGUUGGCGUAGGGCGGGUACCAGCCCAGGCGUGGGUCUCCGCCAUGGGCCUGCGCCGCCUCGGGACCGGGGUCAGGGAGCUCCUGCCUGCCUGGAUGAAGAGGAGGUCAAGACUUUGUCCCCCACUCCGCAAGAUACCCUCUCUGUUCCGGAGCGGUGGGUCCCUCCCCUGUUAGGACCUUGUCUCCCUCAGGACUGGACCUGGAUCCUGGGCCUGCAGUCAGAUUGCCAGUUUCACUUAGAGGUGGAAAUGUCAACCCACUGGUUGGAAUGGGAAGCUGCUGUGUUGUGAGCCACCUUAUGGAAAACCCAUGUGGCAGAGAACCGAGGGUGGUGGCUGGCCAACAGCAAGCCAGGAGCUGAGGCCCACAGUCCAACAACUGAGACUGGGUCCCACCAUAUUGCCUGGGCUGGCCUCGGACUCUUGACCCCAAGUGAUCCUCUGGCCUCAGCCUCCCAAGCAGCUGGAUUUACAGGCAGGCACCACCGCACCGAGCUAAAAGUUCCCCUCACACAGAGCGGAAGCACAGCCCUGGCAUCAAGUGGGAGCAUGGCCCAGGGCAAGGAGCUCUGGGAGUGCAGCCUGGGGCCUUGAAU